rnacentral:lncRNA from 1 species
AGUAUGCCAUGUUUGGUCUCGUACAUGUCAUGGCAUACAUAAUAGAACCCACCGUCGAAGCAUAUGAAACUCUACUCAUACGCUCUCUCUUGAUGAGUUGUUAGACAAUCCUUCUUCAGAAGAAAAAAUUUAUAACCUAUCAGAAGAUAGCCUUUCUUGAAAUUCUUCAGUUGAACCAUUUCAGCAUGAUAUCUAUGUAUGU